rnacentral:rRNA from 1 species
AGCUCCAAUAGCGUAUAUUAAAGUUGUUGCAGUUAAAAAGCUCGUAGUUGGAUCUCGGGUACUAGCAUGUGGUACGCAUAACUGCUGUUACUACAUGUCUGGUCCUAAUCAAUCGGUUGGCCGUUGAUGUCCUUCAUUGGGUGUUUUCGGUAGCCGGUACGUUUACUUUGAGAAAAUUAGAGUGCUUAAAGCAGGCUAUAGGCCUGAAUAAUGUUGCAUGGAAUAAUAGAAUAGGACCUCGGUUCUAUUUUGUUGGUUUUGUAGAGCAUUGAGGUAAUGAUUAAUAGGGACAGACGGGGGCAUUCGUAUUGCGGUGUUAGAGGUGAAAUUCUUGGAUCGCCGCAAGACGAACAACUGCGAAAGCAUUUGCCAAGAAUGUUUUCAUUA